GAUGAACGCUAGCUACAGGCUUAACACAUGCAAGUCGAGGGGCAGCGCAGUGUAGCAAUACAUGGGCGGCGACCGGCGCACGGUGCGUAACGCGUAUCCAACCUUCCCGUUACUCUUGGAUAGCCUUCCGAAAGGGAGAUUAAUACAAGAUGGUAUUCAAAUUCCGCAUGUUAUUUGAAUUAAAGAUUUAUCGGUAACGGAUGGGGAUGCGUGACAUUAGAUAGUAGCGGGGUAACGGCCCACCUAGUCUACGAUGUCUAGGGGUUCUGAGAGGAAGGUCCCCCACACUGGAACUGAGACACGGUCCAGACUCCUACGGGAGGCAGCAGUGAGGAAUAUUGGUCAAUGGUCGGAAGACUGAACCAGCCAAGUAGCGUGAAGGAUGAAGGUUCUAUGGAUUGUAAACUUCUUUAUACGGGAAUAAAACCACCUACGUGUAGGUGCUUGUAUGUACCGUAUGAAUAAGCAUCGGCUAACUCCGUG
rnacentral:rRNA from 1 species